rnacentral:lncRNA from 1 species
CUCUCAAGUAGCUGGGAUUACAGACACAUACCACCAUGCCCAGCUGGGUUUUUUUUUUUUUUUUUUUUUGUAUUUUUAGUAGAGACUGGGUUUCACCGUAUUGGCCAGGCUGGUCUCGAGCUCCUGACCUGAAAUGAUUCACCCGCCUUGGCCUCCCAAAGUGCUGGGAUUACAGGCAUGAGUCGCUGCACCUGGCCUCUGGUCAAAUUUCUGAGGGCAUGAGUGCUGUGUCAUUUUCUGUUCUUGCCUCUUCCGUAGAACCAGCUAGUUCAAAUACAGCAGGUAGUCUCAAGUUGCUGCUGGUGACUUCAGCGAUGUUCCUUUGUAAGACCUGGUGGUUUCCUUCUUUUAUCUGCAUGAAGUUUCCCAGAGAUUGUUUUGAAAAGUAUCUGCAUCAUGUUUCUCAGGUCAUCUGCAAAACUAUUUUCCAAAGAUUCAAAGGAGGAUUCAGGAAUCAGCGAAGGGAGAAAAUAGAGGCUUUUCCCCAUCUUUCGUGAUCUAACUUUCUCAAGCACUGAAGAGCUCUUGUCAGUGAUAUUUUUGGGAACUCACUCAAACUGAGGAAAUUCACAGCUAAGGCUGAUGUUCCUGGACUCUUGGCAUUGUGUUGCCUUAGAAAUUUCUUUUUCAAGACUAUAGAUUGCCCAGCUUCAGCCUGGACUUGGCAUUUUCUGACUUUUGACAAGGGGGCCUUUUACAGUAUUUAAAAAAAGGGUGUGAGGGGUCAGGUGGGAGGUGGGGAAGGGGCAUUGUUGGUAUAUAACACAGGAUAAGGAAUUAGGAGAUGCUGAUGUGAAAUUGAGUUUGAAUAUCAGGCCUGUGCAAUUGCUUUUUAUUAUAUGACAACAAUGCUACUUCUUCCUUAGAAAAAUGAAAAAAAGGCAGACACGUUACAUGCUCUAGUUUAAGUAUGUUCCAGAUACUUCCUCUUAAGCAAAAGCCUUCACUUAACUGCCUGUUAGCCACCAAACUACUAGACUGC